UGAGGAAGAGGAAUGAGGAACUAGUAGCUAUCACCUUAUAUUUAUCAAAUGUUGGUGUUAUGAGUACUUUAGCUGAGAGGCCUGAGACUUUCAUGGGUUAUCCUCUUGUCAUUUUGUCACUUUAUCACUGUUGUUAGCAUGUAUGCACUUCUUUAUGUUUGGAGCUAUUUGGUCGUGAUGUUUUCGACUAUGACCUGGAAUUCUCCUUCAAUUGCUUCUGUUGGGGUGGUUGUCUGAUAGUUAGCAAAGGAAUCAACUUAGUAAACGAAUUAACUUUAGUGAUCUAUUUGCUGGUUUGUUUC
rnacentral:lncRNA from 1 species